GCGGCCCGGGCAGGGGCGCGCAGCCAGGAGGGAGGGAAAGGCAGGCUUCUGAAACGAGGAGCCAGAUGCGUGUUGGCGAGGCUCGCUAUCUGUGGCAGGUUCUGGCAGUGGCAAAAAACCCCAUACCUGCUUGUCUCCGUGGCCUUGCGACUGGUUUUAUCGGAGGGGACCGUUUUCACUGGGUGUAGCAGAUGAUAGGUAAACCGUGCUUCAUUUGCUUCGUGAGAUUCCUGCUUGUCCCUCUGUGUAAAGUCGCUGGAAUUCCCUGCAGUUUUGGUGUGGUUAACCUUGCCUUCCCCACAGGUGGUUGAAAAAGAGCGGUAGAAAUCCCAAGAGUUGUUUGAAACAUUUGAUAUUCAGGAUCAACAAAAAGAUGGGAAUUGCUGGAAAACUGUCUCUCUUGUCAAAAUAUUUUGCAGUGCAGGAUGGAGAUACUUCUUUUACCUGCGUCGUCUGCAGAUAAACAAACUGUAAUGAAUGCAGUUGUCAGCUAAGCACAAGUUCUGUUGAGAGUUUGCGAGCUGGGAGAAAGGUCGAGCUGGAUCCAGCUUAAGGUGUCAACAAAGGUGGCCCCUGAGCUGAGGCUUCACAAAGGAAAAUUUGGUCUGGAACUUGUUUUCAUGGCACAGGUGAAGACCUUUGGAAAAGAACUUUUAUCGUGGAAACAAAGUGUUUAAAAAGUCCUUAGUGGAGCAGCAAAAGCGGCCUGAGCCCUGCUUAUGACGGUGGGAAACUGCUCUGUAGGAUCCCUGGUCAGGCUCCCGUCAGAAGAUCAAAAUAUGCUCCGUUCUUAUCUGUAUGUUCUGGUUUUUAAAGCUCAAGUUCAAAGAAGUUAAUACUGUACCGCCGUUUCAGCAGGAGACCAGCAACCGUUUGGGGAUUUCCAGAUCGUUUCAAGACGAGGACUGGAAUGAGCUGUGCUGGGGGAAGGCGGAGCAGAAGGAGCAGGGUCUGUAUCCUUGGUAUCGCCAUGACCGAAACUGGACCAUGUCACCUUCAGAGGCAGCGGGCUCGUGAGCAAGUGGAGAGGUAGAAGAGUGAACAUGAAAUGUGUUUCUAGACAACAGCCUGUCUUUCGAACAACAGCCAUCAAGUGCCACAAUGUUUUUAUCCUUCCCAUUUAUUCUUGCUUCAAGAAAUAUGGUUUACAGUUUUUUUUUUUUCUGCGGGGAGACUGUGGAUAACCCAGAGAGGGGAGCUGUCAGCUUUGGAAGCCCUUGCUUCAAAAGGCAACGAUUUGAAGUCUCAGCCGACAUUACUUCUCCCCAGGUGAUGAAAGAUGCCGUUGAAGUUGGACAGACUGCUGUGGCUUCUUCACAAAGGUCACAGGAAGAGUGGAGACCUUUUUACUGGAGCAUACUAAUGGGCUCCUUCCCUGAAAGGUGAUACGUGGUGUCUGUAAAGAAAAACCCUCCAGGGCACUCAGUGUGAAGCCUGUUUUUCUGACAUUUUUAAAUGAACUCAGUCCAUAUGAUAGCUGUGCCUUUGGGUUCCCAGCUGACAGCAUUUAGCCCGUUGGCAUCUUUUGUGGGCUGCGAGUGCCGUUUCCGUGGAUGGAAGGCCUUUCUGGCGAGCCCGCGGGCAAGAGGAUGCGACGUCAAGUCACAGCUGAUGGGCCUUCUGCUCCUCCACGAAUUCCUAUUCGGGGGAGGCUUGGAGGAGAUUUUAAAGAAGACAGCUGAGUACAAAUCAAUAUUUUUCUUGACAGCCCUGGUUCUCUUCCUCUCUUUCCAAUUUACAUCUGUCCUCCAGAGAUGACAAAUCGCCGUGUAGGAACCAGAGAGGCUUUCCAUCUUCUGGAUUGCAGCGUGGGUUUGGGAUGUUUUUUUUUUUUUGUAAUUCCACAGGCAAAACGGGUUAAUUGAUACACUUUUCCUUCUGUAAACCUUUUGAGAGCCCUUAGAUUUUCACAUUCUCCCACUGUUUGAAUAGGAGUGUAGCUGUAAUUUCCCCCCCCUGUUGUCAGGUUAAAUUUUUAGUCAUUAUGAUUGUUCAUCUGAAUUAUGAAAUUAGAAAACUUGAUGCUAUUGAGAGCACUGCAUGAGAGUCACUGUAAAACCUCACUUGUUGGAGAACCGAUGUGAGGAAAGCUUUUUGUCGUCAAAGGUCAAAUUUAUUUUCUUUCAUAGUUUCAGCCUUGCUCCAAACAUGAUUUCUUGUGUGGAUGCUAUUCUGUAAUUAAAGUUUUAGCUGGAAAAGUUACAGAAUCUUAUUUAUUACAUACAUGUUGAGAUAUUGUGAAGCCUCACGAAAGACAGGAGAAAGCCAGAAGUUUAUUUGCAUUUUUUCAGCAAAAAAUCACCCACCCUUUUUAGCAAAUAAGUGUUUAUGUAACAUUUUAAUUUGAUUUUUAUAACAGUUAGUUUUGUCUGCAGCUCUUGUUUCCUAGCUUUUGGUUCCUGAUCAACCAUGAAGGCUUUAACUAUGAAAUUUUUAUUAUUUUACGUUCUCUGUCUCUCAAAAACAUAGAAUUAGGGAACAAUUUGAAGUAUUUUAGGUUAAACAGUUACUGCAACACAGCCUAACUAUUAAGCUUCAGGGUUCAGUAUCGUCUUUUGACAUUUUUCCCUUUGUGUGUCUUUUUAAUUUUGGAGACUUACUGAAGUGCAAUUUUUAAAUGAUCUAGAUAGUAACAGAGCCAUUGUACAAACGCACGCUGGUAUUUCAUCAGUCCUCUUCUGCUGUGCAAGUUAUUUAAUGGCUGGGGUGGAAACUUGCAUAGCUCCUUUAUCUAGCAGUAGAAGAUCAGAUCUCAUUUUUAUAUCACCUUUCAUAUGUUUUUUCCAAAGCUGCUCUUUUGUGUUGCUCAGGAGGGACCAGUAGGAUUUUCUGUGCUCAUGCAGUGUGUCGUACAGGCAAAUAGCGACUAGCUUUAUUUCUAACUUGCUCUAACGGUGUUGGGAUGAACUGAUGAUGUAAGGUGGAAGUCAAUCCCCCCAAAAUAAACCUCUGAACUUUUGUGAACGCUUGAACCCUUUCAAAUACAUGCCUGGGGGAUCACGAGGGCAACGUGGCACAGGGAAAGGAGAUGUCUUAUUCUCUAGGUCAGUAAUUGGAAGUGGUUAGACUGCACUGAGUCACUAGAUCAGGUGCUUUAAUAUAAUAUCUUUAUUAAGGUGCUACACGGGAAAAUAAUUACUUUUCUCUUUGUUUUUAGAGGUUCUGAUUCUCUGAAGCAAAAGCCAGCUUUGGAAGGGAAUCUGUGUUUCAGAAAAAAUCUGUACAAGUUUCAGAGGACUCACUGCAAAAAAAAAAAAAGAAACCUAGCUGUAAAAAGAGAGACCACUCUCUUCUGUUCUUUCACAAUAGAACUGUGCAGCUCUCCUUUACCAGAACUGCUUAUGACAUGGCAACUUCCAUUCAAAGCAGAAGAUUAUAAAGUACAGAGAACAGCAAAUUCAAGCCUAUGUAUCAAAUUGAGAUCACGUUGUUUGUGUUUGUGCUGUGUGACUGAUUAUGUUUCUAAAAAUUUUUCUUUCUUUUAUCGUUGCAGCAUAAUUUCAGGAAUAUGAGACAUACAAAGAUGAUGGUGCAUCAUCCAUCCCCAUCAGCUGAGAUUCCGGCUGCAGACACAGUGGGUGCUCCAGUCCCUGCAUCUCAAACGACCUCCCUCUAGGGCAGGAGCAGCUAAAGAGGAGGAAACCCUGAAGAGCCUUGUGGAUAUUCUGCAGCAAGUCGUGCGCCCACGCGAGGGCACACCAGCUCAGCAUUCAGCCACUGCACCCACUCUUGGUGAAACCACUGGUGGUCUUUGGUUAAAAGUAUAUGGGAAACACGCUAAAAAGCAAAAAAAAAAAGCCAAAAAAAACACCACAACGGCAAGAAAACCUACCCCAUCCACGGCACUCCAAACUGACACAGAUAUUUCUGUAGUUUUAUGUGCUUAUGAGUCUGCUCAGCCAACAGCAGCACUGAAGGAGCCGGUCUUAAUGCUGCAAACUGCUGCUACAAAAAAAGAAAAAUAAGGCUCAAGAUCAGUUAAUAAAGUGGAUUUAGUAAAAUCUUCUAAGAACGUUUUUGUUUUUUUUUAAAAAAAAAAAAAAAAGAGUGUUAAAUACCGCAGUUAAGUUUGAAAACCCAGAACCUACCAACAAAAUGUUGAAAAAGGUUGCAGGAGUCUGAGAAGGUGGAACAUCAAGCUCCAGGCAAAAUCCUUCUGGGAAUGGUUGAAACGUUACAGAUAGCAGUAGAGAGUGCAGCUGAGAGUGUUAACCGAGCCACAUCUCAGUGGGCACGCUGACUCGUGGGAAUCCAGACAGCAAAAGCUCAAGCACUAGAAAAAGAGUAGAAAAUUUGUAAGAACCACCAUAUAAUUUUUUCCUGACGCUUCCUCUGCUCCUCCGUCUCCAUCUCUGUGUCUGCUGUAGGAGAGAGCGCGACUGAAACCAGGAAAGUAAGAUCUUUGGUUAACCUGUUUUAUGAUUUUAGUCUUCAAUUAAAUACAUACAUUGGUAUGUCAAGAAAAAUAUUCCAGCUUUUAAGAAUGGUGAAAACACUCUAAAAAAAAAAAAAAAAAAGUUAAAUACUAAUAUCUGGAAUAUUGUCACUGUCUUUCCUUGAGGUUUAAAAGAUCAGUUUUGUCAGUCACCCAAACCAGAUAUAACUGUAUUUAUCCCGGUAAUUAAAAGUUCAAAUUUUAAAAUAUUUUUCCUCAUGUCUGUUAUGUGACGAUGAUAAAUUGGACCGUAGUGAAGUAAAGAGUAAUGCUGAGUGGGCUUUUCCAAAUGUUAUUGUGUUUCAUAUGUGCAUGUAAGAGAUGACAACUCAAGUCGCUCAUGUUUUUUGAACACACUCGAAGUUCUACACUAAUGGCACAACAAUAAAUUGGCUCCAACAGUU